rnacentral:ribozyme from 1 species
GACAAAGUUACAUUAUCUACGAAAAAGUUGAAACAUUCAGUUGAAGAAAUGGAAGAAUUGACCGCAUGUUUGGAUUUACUCGUCAAUUGCUUUCAAAUUAUUUGCUCCUUU